CAGCCGCCGCGGUAAUACAUAGGGGGCGAGCGUUAUCCGGAAUUAUUGGGCGUAAAGGGUGCGUAGGCGGUUUAUUAAGUCUGACGUGAAAUACCACAGCUUAACUGUGGAGGGUCGUUGGAAACUGGUAAACUUGAGUACAGUAGAGGUAAGUGGAAUUCCAAGUGGAGCGGUGGAAUGCGUAGAUAUUUGGAGGAACACCAGUGGCGAAGGCGGCUUACUGGGCUGGAACUGACGCUGAGGCACGAAAGCGUGGGGAGCAAACAGGAUUAGAUACCCUGGUAGUCCACGCCGUAAACGUUGAGCACUAAGUGUCGGGAAUAAUCUCGGCGCUGCAGUUAACACAAUAAGUGCUCCGCCUGGGGAGUACGGUCGCAAGACUGAAACUCAAAGGAAUUGACGGGGACUCGCACAAGCGGUGGAGCAUGCGGUUUAAUUCGAUGCAACGCGAAGAACCUUACCAGGUCUUGACAUCCCAUUGACCGGCUUAGAGAUAAGCCUUUCCUUCGGGACAAUGGUGACAGGUGGUGCAUGGCC
rnacentral:rRNA from 1 species